rnacentral:rRNA from 1 species
UCGGAGAGUUUGAUCCUGGCUCAGGACGAACGCUGGCGGCGUGCCUAAUACAUGCAAGUCGAGCGAAUCGACGGGAGCUUGCUCCCUGAGAUUAGCGGCGGACGGGUGAGUAACACGUGGGCAACCUGCCUAUAAGACUGGGAUAACUUCGGGAAACCGGAGCUAAUACCGGAUACGUUCUUUUCUCGCAUGAGAGAAGAUGGAAAGACGGUUUACGCUGUCACUUAUAGAUGGGCCCGCGGCGCAUUAGCUAGUUGGUGAGGUAAUGGCUCACCAAGGCGACGAUGCGUAGCCGACCUGAGAGGGUGAUCGGCCACACUGGGACUGAGACACGGCCCAGACUCCUACGGGAGGCAGCAGUAGGGAAUCUUCCGCAAUGGACGA